CUCUAGAGUUUGAUCCUGGCUCAGGAUGAACGCUGGCGGCGUGCUUAACACAUGCAAGUCGAACGGUGAAGCAGGAGCUUGCUCUUGUGGAUCAGUGGCGAACGGGUGAGUAACACCCGCCCCAACCUGCCCCAGACUCUGGGAUAAGCGCUGGAAACGGCGUCUAAUACUGGAUACGAGUGGAGACGGCAUCGUCAUUCACUGGAAAGAAUUUCGGUCUGGGAUGGGCUCGCGGCCUAUCAGCUUGUUGGUGAGGUAAUGGCUCACCAAGGCGUCGACGGGUAGCCGGCCUGAGAGGGUGACCGGCCACACUGGGACUGAGACACGGCCCAGACUCCUACGGGAGGCAGCAGUGGGGAAUAUUGCACAAUGGGCGAAAGCCUGAUGCAGCAACGCCGCGUGAGGGAUGACGGCCUUCGGGUUGUAAACCUCUUUUAGCAGGGAAGAAGCGAAAGUGACGGUACCUGCAGAAAAAGCGCCGGCUAACUACGUGCCAGCAGCCGCGGUAAUACGUAGGGCGCAAGCGUUAUCCGGAAUUAUUGGGCGUAAAGAGCUCGUAGGCGGUCUGUCGCGUCUGCUGUGAAAACCCGAGGCUCAACCUCGGGCCUGCAGUGGGUACGGGCAGACUAGAGUGCGGUAGGGGAGAUUGGAAUUCCUGGUGUAGCGGUGGAAUGCGCAGAUAUCAGGAGGAACACCGAUGGCGAAGGCAGAUCUCUGGGCCGUAACUGACGCUGAGGAGCGAAAGGGUGGGGAGCAAACAGGCUUAGAUACCCUGGUAGUCCACCCCGUAAACGUUGGGAACUAGUUGUGGGGUCCUUUCCACGGAUUCCGUGACGCAGCUAACGCAUUAAGUG
rnacentral:rRNA from 1 species